rnacentral:misc_RNA from 1 species
GGAUGAAGAACGCAGCGAAAUGCGAUAAGUAAUGUGAAUUGCAGAAUUCAGUGAAUCAUCGAAUCUUUGAACGCACAUUGCGCCCCCUGGUAUUCCGGGGGGCAUGCCUGUCCGAGCGUCAUUACAACCCUCAAGCUCAGCUUGGUGUUGGGCCCCGCCGCCCCGGCGGGCCCUAAAGUCAGUGGCGGUGCCGUCCGGCUCCGAGCGUAGUAAUUCUUCUCGCUCUGGAGGUCCGGUCGUGUGCUCGCCAGCAACCCCCAAUUUUUUUCAGGUUGACCUCGGAUCAGGUAGGGAUACCCGCUGAACUUAAGCAUAUCAAUAAGCGGAGGA